rnacentral:rRNA from 1 species
CACGUAGGGCGCAAGCGUUGUCCGGAAUUAUUGGGCGUAAAGAGCUCGUAGGCGGUCUGUUACGUCUGCUGUGAAAACCCGGGGCUUAACCCUGGGCUUGCAGUGGAUACGGGCAGACUAGAGGCAGGUAGGGGAGAAUGGAAUUCCCGGUGUAGCGGUGAAAUGCGCAGAUAUCAGGAGGAACACCAAUGGCGAAGGCAGCUCACUGGGACGGUAUUGACGCUGAGACGCGAAAGCGUGGGGAGCGAACAGG